rnacentral:rRNA from 1 species
UACGGAGGGUGCAAGCGUUGUUCGGAAUUACUGGGCGUAAAGCGCGUGUAGGCGGCUGGCUAAGUCUGGUGUGAAAUCCCGGGGCUCACCCCCGGAAGUGCGCUGGAAACUGGUCAGCUAGAGUAUGGGAGAGGGAAGCGGAAUUCCUGGUGUAGCGGUGAAAUGCGUAGAUAUCAGGAGGAACACCGGCGGCGAAGGCGGCUUCCUGGACCAAUACUGACGCUGAGACGCGAAAGCGUGGGGAGCAAACAGG